rnacentral:miRNA from 1 species
CCUCCAAAGUUUCCCUCAGGAUAGCUGGCACUCUCGCACAGCCACCUACACAGUUUUAUCCAGUAAAGUGAAUGAUUAGAGGUCUUGGGGUCGAAACGAUCUCAAC